rnacentral:lncRNA from 1 species
GAAUCGCUCAUUAAAACCUACCAUGGCCCUUCCCCUUCACCCGGCGUGUCAGCGCGCGCGCAACAAUAAACGAGUUUCUGUUCCACACACACCUUCAGCGGACUCGCUCCUUUGUCCCUAUUGUAUAACUGGUGAUGCAUAACUACAAUUGAUCUACAACAUUAUUCUGAAGUAAGUAAGCGUCCUAAUUGGACGCCUGCGCUCCUAUAUACUUAUGAAGCCGUCCUCAGAUUUCUCAGCAGCAGCGAUACUAGGAAUGAAAAUAUAAACACCUAUUUAGCCUUCUUCGCACGUACGCAGCGUACUUCGGCACCCUCAAACCGUCUUAACCUGCUGCUGCUGUACCAAAUUUACUAGGGAUGUACUCGUUUCGCCCACAUACCAGUGGUCUUAAAUAGCCUGCUGAUCAUCACAUCGCCAAGUCCUUACUUCACCAUAGUCUACACACGCAUACCUGCGGGCGGGGCGCUCUACCUACACGCACCUACCUACCCUUUUCCUCUUAACGCGAUAAAUAAUACUUAAGUUGCGUUAUUCAAUUAAAGUAAUCCAUAGAUCAGCAGGCUGUUGUUCGUUAUGGGCCGGCAGCAGUACAGUUGGAGAGCCCACCGCUUGGGUGCGUGUGUGGACACACAUUUCCUUAUUUAGACGCGGCAGGAGAGAAGCGACUAGAGCUUUUAAGUUAGGUUCUAAAUGGCAGCCUGUCGGCUUGUCAGUUAGUUGGUUGGUCCCGGUGACACCGGGAUCACCGGGACAUCGUACAACCAUUUACAGCUGUUCGCUCUUGUAGUUCGGCAUUCUGCCUGCCCUAUCAGGAGCUCCGUUUGCUCUGACAUUCCCCGUGCCCGCCCGAUUAGUCCCGCUCGGCCCAGAUUGCAGCAGCUCGGAUGCAUAACACACCACAAGGCACGGUGGCGGACUGCGGCCAGCCGACACCUCUUUCUCUUUCACCGCGUGGCGCUCGGAUCCCCCCGUUAUCUUCGUACACUUCAGGCCUGCCGUUAGCUCUUCCAGCCGCUGUUUAGGUGUCCACCGCUAAGGGAGACCGACCGCUGCAGGGAGGUCGGUUUGAGCGCCGCUGGCACACCCCUGCUCUCCCGUACGUGGGAGUGGUUGUGUGUACGGACGGCCUGUGGAUCGCGUCAGAUGACUGCGCCUUCGUGCGUUUUUGCCGCGGUCGUUACACGACACUGCUUGUCCUUUGGGUUCGUUCCCCAGAGCGAGAUUUUGAGCUUCCCUGCCUGCAGUGUAAGGCCCAAGAGUGCCGUCCCGCCCUUUCCCUAAGCUUUCCCGGCUUCUCCUUGGAGCCCACAACAGCAGCCGUGAGCCAUGAACCGACCAAGGCUAUAGUUUAGAAUCUUGACACGUGUCGAAAAGGGGGACGACCGCCGGCUGGGACUAGCUGUCGUCUGAGGAACAGCUCUGAUGUGUUGAUCAUAACGCAUGCAUAUGCGUGUGUGUGCAUCGUCAGUACUACAUACACGCUCACCGCAUGAGACCGAGGACUACGUUGGCAGCGGGUGUGCACCAGCAUGCUGGUGUCCUCCAUCUACUCCCAUAUAUAUGGCGGGAUUGAAUGCAUAUGCAAUGCGGUUUUAGCAUUACGAGGUCGUUACCGCUAGCGGUAUGAUGAAACCUAAUGACCCCGCUGCAGCUGCUUGGGGGUCUCACGCUAAUACAGCAGUCUAAGUUUUUUUAUCAUCUAUAUAUAGGUCGUGUCCACGUAUAAUCACAGAUAGGGACGGUCCCUAUCUAAAUAGGGAUGUCCAUAUCCCUGCUGCACCAAAGCAUAAUCUAUUGACAAUAUAAAUUGCGGAGACGCCCUUAAGCCUUGGAAUACGCGUAUGACCAGCUUGUACGGGACUUUGACUCCCAUUUUAACUCAAAUGAACUUCGUCACCCUCUGGCUGUAUUGGCGUAUGAGUCGAUAACUCUAUCUGGGGCUACGUAGUACUAUGUACUAUUGCUAUAGUGCCAGCAGCGACAGUUUCAUCAGGCUCGCGUUAUUACUGGUAACGAGGGGGUAGGGGCAACAGGAGAUUCGACGAAACCUGCUUGAGUACAAAAACAU